rnacentral:lncRNA from 1 species
CUCACACUCUGCUCCCCGACACUCUGCAACAGAAAAGUCACCACAUGGAAAUGCAAUGAAUCGCAGGUGCCAGCAGACCUCCGUUCUCACGGCAGCCUUCGCAUCAUCCAGCAGACGCGUGCUUACCGAGUGAGCGCUGUGCGCUUCCAGUCGAGAGGGGGAACCUACGCCUAACUCAAAAGUACCAACACAACACUAACCUAUGCCUAACACUAAAGUAAGAACAGCAACCUACGCCUAACUCUAAAGUAACAACAACAACAACAACAAUCUACUCCUAACACUAACAUAACAACAAGAACCCCUACCUAACUCUAAAAUACAAACAACAACCUACUCCUACCACUAAAACUAAACUUAACACUAACAUCAACAACAAGAACGGGGACGGGGACAGAACGGGGCUCAGAGGGGACUGGGGGCCCGCAGAACUCGGCGCCAGAGGAGGACCAGGUGGUAAGCAGUGCCACCCAG